AAUCUUUUUGGGAAUGAAGUUCUCCCUUAGUUUAAAACUAAAACCGCUUUUUAUAGGCUGAUGACUUCUGUGUUUUU
rfam:Eubacterium biforme DSM 3989 Scfld8 genomic scaffold, whole genome shotgun sequence.